rnacentral:misc_RNA from 1 species
UUUCCGUAGGUGAACCUGCGGAAGGAUCAUUAACACUUUUAAAAAAAAGUUGGAUUAAUUCGAAAGAACUAAUCUCAAUUUCUUACCCACAUUUUGGAUGAAUUUGUGUUUAGAAAAAGAACAACAUUCUUUUGUGUUCUUCUUUUUCUAACUAUUUUUUUCAACUUUUUAACCCCAAACCUUUUUAAAUAACUUGCAAAGACUGACAUAAAAGGAUUAUUUGUUUAAUCCAUUUUACUUUUAAAAGCUGAGAAACAACUCUUAACAACGGAUAUCUUGGCUCUC